AACGAACGCUGGCGGCAUGCCUAACACAUGCAAGUCGAACGGGACCUUCCGGUCUUGUGUCGCACGGCUGCUUAACGCGUGGGAACCUGCCCUUAGGUUCUGAAUAACUCCCCUCAGGGGGUGCUAAUACCGGUUAAUCUCUUCGGACCAAAGAUUUAUCGCCUUUGGAUGGGCCCGCGUUGGAUUAGCUAGUUGGUAGGGUAAAAGCCUACCAAGGCGAUGAUCCAUAGCUGGUCUGAGAGGAUGAUCAGCCACACUGGGACUGAGACACGGCCCAGACUCCUACGGGAGGCAGCAGUGGGGAAUAUUGGACAAUGGGCGAAAGCCUGAUCAAGCAAUGCCGCGUGAGUGAUGAAGGCCUUAGGGUUGUAAAGCUCUUUUACCCGGGAUGAUAAUGACAGUACCGGGAGAAUAAGCUCCGGCUAACUCCGUG
rnacentral:rRNA from 1 species